rnacentral:rRNA from 1 species
UGGGGGAUAUUGCACAAUGGGCGAAAGCCUGAUGCAGCGACGCCGCGUGGGGGAUGAAGGCCUUCGGGUUGUAAACUUCUUUUGCUCUGAACAAGGCAUGCCUUUGGGGUGUGUUGAGUGUAGGGGUUGAUUAGCGCCGGCUAACUACGUGCCAGCAGCCGCGGUAAUACGUAGGGCGCGAGCGUUGUCCGGAAUUAUUGGGCGUAAAGGGCUUGUAGGUGGCUGGUUGCGUCUGUCGUGAAAGCUCAUGGCUUAACUGUGGGUUUGCGGUGGGUACGGGCUGGCUUGAGUGCAGUAGGGGAGGCUGGAAUUCCUGGUGUAGCGGUGGAAUGCGUAGAUAUCAGGAGGAAUACCGGUGGCGAAGGCGGGUCUCUGGGCUGUUACUGACGCUGAGGAGCGAAAGCGUGGGGAGCGAACAGG